rnacentral:other from 1 species
ACGGUUAUAAAUCAACAUAUUGAUUUAUAAGCAUGGAAAUCCCCUGAAUGAAACAACGAAUUGCUGUGUGUAGUCUUUGCCCAUCUCCCACGAUGGGCUUUUUUUUAA